rnacentral:rRNA from 1 species
AGAGUUUGAUCCUGGCUCAGGAUGAACGCUAGCGGCAGGCUUAACACAUGCAAGUCGAGGGGUAACAGGUUUUAGUUUACUAGAAUGCUGACGACCGGCGCACGGGUGAGUAACGCGUAUACAAUUUACCUUUUACAGGAGAAUAGCCCAGAGAAAUUUGGAUUAAUGCUCCAUGGUAUUAUUUGAUCACCUGAUCGAGUAAUUAAAGCUUCGGCGGUAAAAGAUGAGUAUGCGUCCUAUUAGCUGGAUGGUAAGGUAACGGCUUACCAUGGCGACGAUAGGUAGGGGUCCUGAGAGGGAGAUCCCCCACACUGGUACUGAGACACGGACCAGACUCCUACGGGAGGCAGCAGUGAGGAAUAUUGGGCAAUGGAGGCAACUCUGACCCAGCCAUGCCGCGUGCAGGAAGACGGCCCUAUGGGUUGUAAACUGCUUUUAUAUAGGAAGAAACUUAUCCACGUGUGGAUAACUGACGGUACUAUAAGAAUAAGCACCGGCUAACUCCGUGCCAGCAGCCGCGGUAAUACGGAGGGUGCAAGCGUUAUCCGGAAUCAUUGGGUUUAAAGGGUCCGUAGGCGGGCAAUUAAGUCAGAGGUGAAAUCCCACAGCUCAACUGUGGAACUGCCUUUGAUACUGGUUGUCUUGAGUAUAGUUGAAGUGGGCGGAAUGUGUCAUGUAGCGGUGAAAUGCAUAGAUAUGACACAGAACACCAAUCGCGAAGGCAGCUCACUAAACUACUACUGACGCUCAGGCACGAAAGCGUGGGGAGCGAACAGGAUUAGAUACCCUGGUAGUCCACGCCGUAAACGAUGAUUACUCGUUGUUGGCGAUACACAGUCAGCGACUGAACGAAAGUAUUAAGUAAUCCACCUGGGGAGUACGAUCGCAAGGUUGAAACUCAAAGGAAUUGACGGGGGCCCGCACAAGCGGAGGAGCAUGUGGUUUAAUUCGAUGAUACGCGAGGAACCUUACCUGGGCUCAAACGUAGAGUGACCAUCUGUGAAAGCAGAUUUUCCUUCGGGACAGUCUACGAGGUGCUGCAUGGUUGUCGUCAGCUCGUGCCGUGAGGUGUCGGGUUAAGUCCCAUAACGAGCGCAACCCCUAUUCUUAGUUGCCAUCAGGUAAUGCUGGGGACUCUAAGAAAACUGCCUACGCAAGUAGUGAGGAAGGUGGGGAUGACGUCAAAUCAGCACGGCCCUUACGUCCAGGGCUACACACGUGCUACAAUGGUCGAUACAGAGGGCAGCUACCAUGUGAAUGGAUGCAAAUCUCGAAAAUCGAUCUCAGUUCGGAUCGAAGUCUGCAACUCGACUUCGUGAAGUUGGAUUCGCUAGUAAUCGCGCAUCAGCCAUGGCGCGGUGAAUACGUUCCCGGGCCUUGUACACACCGCCCGUCAAGCCAUGGAAGCUGGGGGUACCUGAAGUUCGUGACCGCAAGGAGCGACCUAGGGUAAAACUAGUAACUGGGGCUAAGUCGUAACAAGGUAACC